GACGAACGCUGGCGGCGUGCUUAACACAUGCAAGUCGAACGGUAAGGCCCUUCGGGGUACACGAGUGGCGAACGGGUGAGUAACACGUGGGUGAUCUGCCCUGCACUUCGGGAUAAGCCUGGGAAACUGGGUCUAAUACCGGAUAGGACCACUGCCUGCAUGGGUGGUGGUGGAAAGCUUUUGCGGUGUGGGAUGGGCCCGGGGCCUAUCAGCUUGUGGGUGGGGUGAUGGCCUACCAAGGCGACGACGGGUAGCCGGCCUGAGAGGGUGACCGGCCACACUGGGACUGAGAUACGGCCCAGACUCCUACGGGAGGCAGCAGUGGGGAAUAUUGCACAAUGGGCGCAAGCCUGAUGCAGCGACGCCGCGUGAGGGAUGACGGCCUUCGGGUUAUAAACCUCUUUCAGCACCGACGAAGCGCAAGUGACGGUAGGUGCAGAAGAAGGACCGGCCAACUACGUGCCAGCAGCCGCCGUAA
rnacentral:rRNA from 1 species